GAUGCUCGUUAAUAUCGCAGUGUUGAACGUGGCUAAGAUUAUAAAACACAGCGAGUUGCACGAGCACGU